rnacentral:rRNA from 1 species
AAUCCUAUUAUUUACCCGGUGAUUGUUUGUUUGGUUUUAGGUUGGGGUGACCGCGGAGUAUAAGAUAUCCUCCAUGAAAAAAAGCUAACUGCCCUUAUUAGAGAAAGACACUUCCAAAAAAUAAUAAAUUAAUUUUAAAUGAUCCGACAUUCGAUCAACGAACCAAGUUACCCUGGGGAUAACAGCGCAAUCCGUCCCGAGAGCCCCUAUCGACAGGCGGGUUUACGACCUCGAUGUUGGAUCAGGGUAUCCCAGUGGUGCAGCAGCUACUAAAGGUUCGUUUGUUCAACGAUUAA